rnacentral:lncRNA from 1 species
ACUUUGGAUGGCUGAUUUCCUCCCUUUGAAUCAACCCUUGAUUGUGCUUGGGAGGAGGAAGAAGAAGGAUGAAAACUUGAAGAAGAAUCAAAGCACCUUGCAGCCUUUUUCUUUCCCUUGCGUUGAAUGAAGCAAAGGAGGAGGGAGGAGGCCGCCAAGCUUUCUUUUCUUCUCACCUUGCUUGCGGCUGAAACCAAGAGGAAAGAGGAGGGGUACAACCACAAGGAGGAGGGUUUCAAUCAUACCCUAGGUGCCGCCCACAACUCCUUUUAUAAGCAUGUGGAGCUCCUAACAUUUAGGAGCUCCUGACUACUUUCCUAAGAGG